GGCGAGAUGGCCGAGCGGUCUAAGGCGCCAGACUAAGGAUCAGAGUGCAGCAGCACUCAACCCUCACGGAAGCUUCGUGAUCUGGUCCGAAAGGGCGUGGGUUCGAAUCCCACUCUCGUCA